UACGUAGGGGGCGAGCGUUGUCCGGAUUUAUUGGGCGUAAAGAGCGUGUAGGCGGCCAGGUAGGUCUGCUGUGAAAACUCGAGGCUCAACCUCGAGACGUCGGCGGAAACCAUCUGGCUAGAGUCCGGAAGAGGAGAGUGGAAUUCCUGGUGUAGCGGUGAAAUGCGUAGAUAUCAGGAGGAACACCUGUGGUGUAGACAGCUUACUGGACCACGACUGACGCUGAGACACGAAAGCGUGGGUAGCAAACAGG
rnacentral:rRNA from 1 species